rnacentral:rRNA from 1 species
GAUGAACGCUAGCUACAGGCUUAACACAUGCAAGUCGAGGGGCAGCAUGAAUCAAGCUUGCUUGAUUUGAUGGCGACCGGCGCACGGGUGCGUAACGCGUAUCCAAUCUACCCACUGCUCGGGGAUAGCCUUGCGAAAGUAAGAUUAACACCCGAUGGUCUCACUGGGCCGCAUGGCCUUUUGAGUAAAGUUUUACGGCAGUGGAUGUGGAUGCGUCCGAUUAGCUGGUUGGCGGGGUAACGGCCCACCAAGGCGACGAUCGGUAGGGGUUCUGAGAGGAAGGUCCCCCACACUGGAACUGAGACACGGUCCAGACUCC